rnacentral:rRNA from 1 species
GAUGAACGCUGGCGGCGUGCCUAAUACAUGCAAGUCGAGCGAACAGACGAGGAGCUUGCUCCUCUGACGUUAGCGGCGGACGGGUGAGUAACACGUGGAUAACCUACCUAUAAGACUGGGAUAACUUCGGGAAACCGGAGCUAAUACCGGAUAAUAUAUUGAACCGCAUGGUUCAAUAGUGAAAGACGGUUUUGCUGUCACUUAUAGAUGGAUCCGCGCCGCAUUAGCUAGUUGGUAGGUAACGGCUUACCAAGGCAACGAUGCGUAGCCGACCUGAGAGGGUGAUCGGCCACACUGGAACUGAGACACGGUCCAGACUCCUACGGGAGGCAGCAGUAGGGAAUCUUCCGCAAUGGGCGAAAGCCUGACGGAGCAACGCCGCAUGAGUGAUGAAGGUCUUCGGAUCGUAAAACUCUGUUAUUAGGGAAGAACAAAUGUGUAAGUAACUAUGCACGUCUUGACGGUACCUAAUCAGAAAGCCACGGCUAACUACGUG